UUUUUAACUGACACAUGUUUUUUACUGAUAUACAUUUUAAAUAAUAUAAAUGAAACUCUUCUACCAGGCCCUGCCCUGAUACCAGGCCCCAGUUAGAAGGUCUGGGUUCAAAUUUAUGGACUUUACACUGACUGU